rnacentral:rRNA from 1 species
UACGGAGGGGCUAGCGUUGUUCGGAAUUACUGGGCGUAAAGCGCACGUAGGCGGCUUUGCAAGUUAGAGGUGAAAGCCCGGGGCUCAACUCCGGAAUUGCCUUUAAAACUGCAUCGCUAGAAUUGUGGAGAGGUAAGUGGAAUUCCGAGUGUAGAGGUGAAAUUCGUAGAUAUUCGGAAGAACACCAGUGGCGAAGGCGACUCGCUGGACAAGUAUUGACGCUGAGGUGCGAAAGCGUGGGGAGCAAACAGG